CUUUGAUUCUGAAAAAAUAACCUAUACAUUUGAUAUUUUUGGAAAAAAAUAAAUAUUACUUUAUGUAUUAUAUUGAAAUAAAUAUUAGUAGAAAAAAUGCACAUGGCUAGUGCUUUAAUUAGGAGUGCCGUUUUGAAUAAUUCCGGCCUUAGGCCGUCAAGUUCAGUAUCGAGCAAAGUUACAAAAAUUGCAUCAUAUUUGCAUAGUAAACCAGGGGAAAGAAGAUUAUUUAGUGCUUUCUCGAGAUGCGGCAACCGUGAAAUACGAAUAUGCGGUCACAACAAUGUGUUUGUGCCAACUGCAGAGAUAGUAAAUAGCAAGAAAUAUUCGACGAACAAGAAAAAUGAAGACGAGGACGAAGGGAUAGACGUGAAGGAUGAGACACCAAUGUUCUCCAGCCAGCUACCGGCCACAGUGGCCGUGCCGGAAGUGUGGCCGCAAGUGCCCGUCAUCGCCAUCAACAGGAACCCCGUCUUCCCCAGGUUUAUUAAGUUAAUAGAGGUAUCAAAUCCAGCAUUAAUUGAUCUAAUAAGACGUAAAGUAAAAUUAAAUCAGCCAUAUGUCGGUAUAUUCCUGAGGAAAAAGGAGGAUGAAAUGUCUGAUGUGGUCUCAAAUCUGGAUGAUCUGCACCAAGUGGGUGUGUUUGCACAAAUACACGAGAUGCAAGACAUGGACCACAAACUACGCUUAGUUGUAAUGGCCCACCGCAGGAUCAAAAUAACAGGACAGUUUAUUGAAGAUGAAAUAGAGACGGGACCUGCAGAAAUGAAGCUCAAAUUUCCGGUAUUUAAUGUUGAGUUUAAUGUUACCCGCGAAGAGACGGACGCCGAGAGGCGGCGGCGGAAAUACCGGAACACGAAGCGGAAGGAAGCAGACAGGAGUAAGGAGGAGAGCCGGGAGAAGCCCCUACCCGAGCAUGUGAUGAUGGUGAAGGUGGAGAAUGUGAUGCACGAGCAGUUCCAACAGACCGAAGAGGUGAAGGCGCUCACGCAGGAGGUCAUCAAGACCAUCAGGGAUAUCAUCAACAUGAACCCGCUGUACAGGGAGUCGCUGCACCACAUGCUGGCGCAGGGUCAGCGCGUGGUGGACAACCCGGUGUACCUGAGCGACCUAGGCGCGGCGCUCACCGGCGCCGACCCCGCCGACCUGCAGGCCGUGCUCGAGGAGAUGGACAUCCCGAAGCGGCUGAUGCUGUCGCUGGCGCUGCUGAAGAAGGAGUACGAGCUGUCGAAGCUGCAGCAGAAGAUCGGCAAGGAGGUGGAGGAGAAGGUCAAGCAGCAGCACCGCAAGUACAUCCUGCACGAGCAGCUGAAGGUGAUCAAGAAGGAGCUGGGCCUGGAGAAGGACGACAAGGACGCGAUCGGGGACAAGUUCCGGGAGCGGCUCGCGGACAAGACCGUGCCGCCCGCGGUGCAGGCCGUCAUCGACGAGGAACUCAACAAACUCAACUUCCUCGAGGGACACAGCUCCGAGUUCAACGUGACGCGGUGCUACCUGGACUGGCUGACGUCGCUGCCGUGGGGCGUCACGUCGCCGGAGUCGUUGGACCUGGCGAGCGCGCGCGCCAUACUCGACGCCGACCACUACGGCAUGGACGACAUCAAGACGCGCAUACUCGAGUUCAUCGCCGUCUCCAAGCUGCGCGGAUCCACGCAGGGUAAGAUCCUGUGCUUCCACGGUCCGCCGGGCGUGGGCAAGACGUCGAUAGCGCGGUCGAUCGCGCGCGCGCUCAACCGCCAGUACUUCCGGUUCUCGGUGGGCGGCAUGUCGGACGUGGCCGAGGUGAAGGGCCACCGCCGCACCUACGUCGGCGCCAUGCCCGGCAAGCUCGUGCAGUGCCUCAAGAAGACCGGCACAGAGAACCCCCUCGUGCUCAUCGAUGAGGUGGACAAGAUCGGUCGCGGCGCGGCGGGCGACCCGGCGUCGGCGCUGCUCGAGCUGCUGGACCCGGAGCAGAACGCCAACUACCUCGACCACUACCUCGACGUGCCGCUGGACCUGUCGCGCGUGCUGUUCGUGUGCACCGCCAACGUGCUGGACGCCGUGCCGGAGCCGCUGCGGGACCGCAUGGAGCUCAUCAACAUGUCGGGCUACGUGGCGGAGGAGAAGCGCGCCAUCGCCGACCAGUACCUGGUGCCGGCCGCGCGCGCCGCCUCCGGCCUCACCGAGGCCCAGCUGCAGCUGCGCGACGACGCGCUCGACGCGCUCAUCCGCUCCUACUGCCGUGAGAGCGGCGUGCGCAACCUCCAGAAACACAUCGAGAAGAUCGCGCGGAAGGUGGCGUACAAGAUAGUGAGCGGAGCGGCGGAGGCGGCGGAGGGGGUGGAGGGGGUGGAGGUGGGGGCGGAGUCGCUAGUAGAGCUGGUGGGACAGCCCGCCUUCAAGCACGACCGCAUGUACGACCACACCCCGCCCGGCGUCGUCAUGGGCCUCGCCUGGACCGCCAUGGGCGGCAGCUCGCUGUACAUCGAGUCUGUGGUGCGGCGACGUACUAGCGGCGCGGGGGGCGGGGCGGUGGAGAGCGGGGCGGGGGCGGGUGCGGGGGCGGGGUCGCUGGAGCUGACGGGCCACCUCGGCGACGUGAUGAAGGAGUCGGUGCGCAUCGCGCUCACGGUGGCGCGCAACUUCGUGGCGGAGCGCGACCCCAGCAACACCCUGCUCGAGACCGAGCACCUGCACGUGCACGUGCCCGAGGGCGCCACGCCCAAGGACGGUCCGUCGGCGGGCGUGACGAUGUGCAGCGCGCUGGUGUCGCUGUCGAUGCGGCGCGCGGUGCGGCCGCGGCUCGCCAUGACGGGCGAGCUCACGCUCACCGGCCGCGUGCUGCCCGUCGGCGGCAUCAAGGAGAAGAUCAUUGCGGCGAAGCGCGCGGGCGUGGACACAGUGAUCCUGCCGGAGGAGAACCGGCGCGACGUGUCGGAGCUGCCGGAGUUCGUGCGUGCCGGCGUCGCCGUGCACUACGUCUCGCACUUCACGCAGCUCUUCGACAUCGCAUUCGAUGACGCCCAGGUCUAGCCGACUCCGACUCCCUGACUGCUGACAUCUCACCUCCGACCCCACCUCCGCGAGUGACACUUAUUGUGACUUUCCGAUCUUAGCCUCUAGCGACGGCGACCAAAAAAAUAAUAAAACAAAAUGCCACUUUACGACACCGGCAAUUCUACCGACAAUGGUGUAGUGACCUAUGCCGCCGCUUCUUUGUAGUGAGUUCUAGAGCAAAAUGAAACCUAUAGUCUAUGUCACAAAGUGACAUUUUAUUUGAUUUUUUAUUGGCCGCGAUCGCUUGUCGUGUCGAUCGGAACGGUACCUAGGUAAGCGUGGCUAUGCUGUCGCAAAGCGAAGCGUCACAAGUCCCAAAGAACAGAGUGCCGUGUCGCGUAGCUCAUACAAUUCUACGAAAAAUUUUUUU